rnacentral:lncRNA from 1 species
AGCGGGAAUGAGGGUGUUACCUUACACAGUGCUUUAACUCCUACUCACAACAUAACUCACUUCAUCAUUCACUCGUCACCCUAAACAAGGUAUGACAACAUCAUUACUCGUCAUUCACAUGCAUCAUUUAUUACAUCAUUCAUCAUCGUCGUUCAACAAUUAUUAUACAUAUUCCAUUCCUUCAUUAAUCAAUAUUGCAUUUUAAAAUCUACUCUCGUCAUUUGUUCUCUUCAUUACUACAUCUUUCUAGUUAGUCCUCAUCUUGACUUUAAGGAAACUUCCCUUAACAUCCAAUCAUACCCCCUUACCUAGAGAUCACUUCUUUUAUUUUAAAUUAAGAUGUUCAUCUUUCAUCACUAGUUCUCUUUGCAUCAUUGAUUAUAUUAAAUGAUCGUACCCUAUUCUUCAUUUAUUUUAAUCUUAUAUUCUUCUAUCUCACAAUUAUCUUAGACCCAUCUUUGUCGUCGUUAACUACCAUGAACUAUCUUAGACUCACCAUUGCUCGAAAGGUAUCACUUCUAAACAACACUUAAUCAUACUUCCCUCGCCUAAUUAUUGUACUCACAUAACUUAAUUCGAUGUUAAUAUCAAGUCUACAACAAUUUUAGAUGGUCAAGGGGUGUUAAAAACAGCAAAGUACGAUGAAAAUGGUCUCACAAUAUCGUGUAAUGUUUAUGCAAAUCGUGGCAUGAUUUUAUUCCCAAAAUGAUGUUUUGCUACUACUCUCAAAAUCUCUACAUGAUUUGUAAAAUAGCGACGUGAUUUUAACAGCACCAGUUUAUGCAGAAAUCACAAAUUUUUACGAUGUUCCACCAUGGGAGCCUCCUCGACUCCACUUUUCGACCUUAAACUCAUUAAACUUGUUCCUAAUUGUCACCCCAUGAUUAUCAUAUCAUCCAAACAGUAAUUCUUCAUUAACCUACCAAAUUAUCUACUCUUUUUACGGCUAAAAACUCAUUUUAAAAACCUAAACUAGUUUCCUCAAUUCUCAUCUUUCAACUUUAUCUUUUAAUUUGUUCAUCAUUAUUCCUUCAUCAAAAUUCACAGCAUAACAACAACAACAUAUUAAGAUUUAAGACAACCCUCCCAUCAAAUAAUAAGAUACCCUAAAGUAAAGAGAUUGUCCCCCUUACCUCGAAUCCUUCGAAAAUUCCAGUUUGUGGCUUGACCUUGCUGUCACUAGGGUUUCUCCUCAUGUGCUCCUCUUUUCUUUCUUUUCCACGUUCAGCAAUACUGACUCUUAUAACUCUUAACCUCUCUUUUUAUAUUUAGGUCAAUCACUUGUUAAGAUUAUCUUCUCCUCUACUCGCUAUUCUUUUACUCCAACCCUCCCCACUUAUUUAAAACUUAUAUUCUACACCCUGACUCUAUAUUAUUUUAUUUUGGCUCCUCCCUUCAUUUUAUUUAAAUUCUAAUACUACUUAAUCAUCAUCAAUAUUAUAAUUUCUCAACAACAAAAUAAUACUCAAGCACAAGCACUAUAAAUAAUAAUAUUAAUCAAAACUUCACCUAUUAAACAUCAUUGAAUUAAUUAAAAAUAUAAAAUUAUAGUUAUCAUUAGGGGUAAAAUUAUCCUCAAUUCAUCACCGGGUAAUGCAAGCUUCGUUGAUAGAUUUAUUCUUACAAUCAAUUACCAUUUUCAUCUUAAGAAUAUCAAACUUUCUCAUCUCUUUCAUUCAACAUGUAAUCUUCAUCUUUUUUGUUUGAAAAUCGAAUUAUAUUUAUCAUUAAUAAUAAGAGCAAUGUUAUAUAUCAAGAAAGAUUUUAUCAAGAAAAUUUCAAGAAUUACAUGGCAGAAUAAUCACCCUUAAAUUUUAUCAAGAAAUAGUCCUGAAAUUAAUGUUAGCCAAUAAAAUCUCAGCCUGAUCGGAAAUCAUGGGGUGGUGGGUGUUAUGUAUUUUUUUUUAUGAAAGAUUAAUAAAUGAGAUUGAAAUCUAAAGGUGAUUAUUGUGCCAUGUCAUUCUUGAAUCUUUCUUAUAAAAUCAUUCUUAAUAUCUAGCAUUUUCCUAAGAAUAAUUACCUCUAAUUUAAUAAGGAGUAACGUAGACCUCACCUUUUUAAUUUUUUUUUAUUAGGUUAAAACCAUAAUAGAGAGUUUGGGCCUUUGGCCCUCUUAAGAGCCAUACUACUAAUAAUAAAAAGUUGCUUGUUAUGUAAGGUGGUAAGUUUCGAGGAAGGAUUCACUUUAAUUUCCAUAGACCACAGUAUCUGAGUUCUGAAACCGACAACCACAGGGAUACUUGUCUCAUCUAAAAGCUUUUUACGAUGCAGUCUCCAUCAAUACCAG